rnacentral:rRNA from 1 species
GUGUACUACGUGCGCGGAUGUGGGGUAACAGUGCGGGGGUAAGCGUUGUCCGGAUUUGUUGGGCGUAAAGCGCGCGUAGGUGGCUGAGGAAGUCGGGUGUUAAAGCCCCAGGCUCAACCUGGGACACCACCCGAUACUGCUCUGGCUAGAGUCCGGUAGGGGAGCGUGGAAUUCCUGGUGUAGCGGUGAAAUGCGCAGAUAUCAGGAGGAACACCAGCGGCGAAGGUGGCGCUCUGGGCCGGAACUGACGCUGAGGAGCGAAAGCGUGGGUAGCAAACAGGAUUAGAUACCCUAGUAGUC